UACGAAGGGGGCUAGCGUUGUUCGGAAUUACUGGGCGUAAAGCGCGCGCAGGCGGUCUUUAAGUCAGGGGUGAAAUCCUGGAGCUCAACUCCAGAACUGCCUUUGAUACUGAGGAUCUUGAGUUCGGGAGAGGUGAGUGGAACUGCGAGUGUAGAGGUGAAAUUCGUAGAUAUUCGGAAGAACACCAGUGGCGAAGGCGACUCGCUGGACAAGUAUUGACGCUGAGGUGCGAAAGCGUGGGGAGCAAACAGG
rnacentral:rRNA from 1 species